GCUUACGGCCAUACCACCCUGAACACGCCCGAUCUCGUCUGAUCUCGGAAGCUAAGCAGGGUCGGGCCUGGUCAAUACUUGGAUGGGAGACCGCCUGGGAAUACCAGGUGCUGUAAGCU
rnacentral:rRNA from 1 species